rnacentral:rRNA from 1 species
GGAUGUGAUCAUACCAGCACUAAAGCACCGGAUCCCAUCAGAACUGUGAAGUUAAGCGUGCUUGGGCGAGAGUAGUACUAGGAUGACUUCCCUCCUCGUGUUGCAUUCC